rnacentral:rRNA from 1 species
AGUCACUGACAUUAGAUACCCGUGUAGUCCAGGGUGUAAACGCUGCAGACUUGGUGUUGGAAGCCCUUUGGGGGCAUUCAGUGCCGGAGAGAAGUUGUUAAGUCUGCUACUUGGGAGUACGUCCGCAAGGAUGAAACUUAAAGGAAUUGGCGGGGGAGCACCGCAACGGGAGGAGCGUGCGGUUUAAUUGGAUUCAACACCGUAAAACUCACCAGGGAAGACUGUUACAUGAAAGCCGAGAUGAAGACUCUGCUAGAUUUUCAG